UACGUAGGGGGCAAGCGUUGUCCGGAUUUAUUGGGCGUAAAGAGCGUGUAGGCGGUUUGGUAGGUCCGCUGUGAAAACUCGAGGCUCAACCUCGAGACGCCGGUGGAAACCAUCAGACUAGAGUCCGGAAGAGGAGAGUGGAAUUCCUGGUGUAGCGGUGAAAUGCGCAGAUAUCAGGAAGAACACCCGUGGCUAAGGCGGCUCUCUAGUACGGUACUGACGCUGAGACACGAAGGCCAGGGGAGCAAACGGG
rnacentral:rRNA from 1 species